rnacentral:rRNA from 1 species
GACGAACGCUGGCGGCGUGCUUAACACAUGCAAGUCGAACGAUGAAGCCGGAGCUUGCUCUGGUGAAUUAGUGGCGAACGGGUGAGUAACACGUGAGUAACCUGCCCUUGACUCUGGGAUAACUGCAAGAAAUGGUAGCUAAUACCGGAUACGACCCUCGGAGGCAUCUCCAGGAGGUGGAAAGAAUUUCGGUCAAGGAUGGACUCGCGGCCUAUCGGCUAGUUGGUGAGGUAACGGCUCACCAAGGCGACGACGGGUAGCCGGCCUGAGAGGGUGACCGGCCACACUGGGACUGAGACACGGCCCAGACUCCUACGGGAGGCAGCAGUGGGGAAUAUUGCACAAUGGGCGCAAGCCUGAUGCAGCAACGCCGCGUGAGGGAUGACGGCCUUCGGGUUGUAAACCUCUUUUAGUAGGGAAGAAGCGAAAGUGACGGUACCUGCAGAAAAAGCACCGGCUAACUACGUGCCAGCCGCCGCCGUAA